rnacentral:rRNA from 1 species
AUGAGGCAAGCCGGAAAGACACUAAAGGACUAUCCAGGCAUAGAACUACCAAAUGCUACUGAACUUGAACAACUUGGGAACAGAAUGAUAAACGAAGAACUUAGCUACGACACGGAAGCACUAAAGAUUGAGCACCAAACCAUAGUUAGCAAUCUUAACCAUGGCCUGAAAAUGGCCUUUGAUGCCAUAAUGGAAUCAGCUUACAGAGGACUUGGAAAACAGAUAUUUGUAGAGGGCUACGGUGGCACAAGCAAAACUUAUCUAUGGAAAGCAAUCACAAUGAAGCUACGACCAGAGGGGAAAAUAGUGCUUGCGGUAGCAUCAUCUGGCAUUGCAGCAUUGCUCCUCCAAGUUGGAAGAACAGUGCACUCAAGAUUCCACAUUCCAAUAAAUAUCACAGAAGAAUCAACAUGUGAAAUAAAACAAGGCUCACAUUUGGCUGAACUGGUAAAGAGGACCUCACUGAUACUGUGGGACGAGGCUCCUAUGGCACGCAAACACUUCUUCGAGGCACUAGACAAAAGCCUUAGGGAUAUUCUAAGGUUCCAAAACCAAAACAGUGAUGAAAGGCCAUUUGGUGGCAUGACAGUUGUGCUAGGAGGCGACUUCAGACAAAUACUUCCAGUGGUUACAAAGGGAAAGAGAGAGCAGAUAGUAAAUGCCUCAGUCAAAAGGUCAUACCUAUGGAAGCACUUCGAAAUAUUUAGACUAACUGAAAACAUGCGGUUGAAGUGCCUGUCAGAAGAUCCAAUACAAAAGCAAAAUGUGGCUGAAUUUGCAGAAUGGAUAUUACAAAAUGGCGAUGGAAAACAAACAAACAAUGAAGGAGAUGAUUGGGUAAAAAUACCUAAAGACAUAAUUCUGCAAAAAGGAGAAGACCCGAAAGAAGCGAGAGUGAAAAGCACGUACCCAAACUUGCACCAAAACUAUCGUGACCGUGAAUUUCUUGAAGAAAGAGCAAUACUAUGUCCAAGGAAUGAAACAGUUGAGAAGAUAAAUGACUACGUAAUGAGCCAAAUACAAGGUGAAGAGGUGACAUACCUAAGCUUGGACACUGUAUGCAAGGCAACAACAAAGUACAACACAAUGGAGAAUAUGUGUCCAACAGAGUUCCUUAACAAAUUGACCUUCCCAGGAAUUCCAAACCACGAGCUAAAACUGAAAGUAGGCUUGCCGGUUAUGCUCCUACGCAACAUCAAUCAAGCGGCAUGUUUAUGCAAUGGUACAAGAAUGACUAUCACACAACUGAGAAACAGGUACAUUGAGGCACAAAUAAUCACAGGAACACAUGUCGGUGACAAGGUAUACAUACCUAAAAUCAUUAUGUCACCAAGCGACUCGAAGUGGCCCUUCGUGCUGAAAAUA